rnacentral:rRNA from 1 species
GACGAACCGUGCGAACGUUAUUCGGAAUCACUGGGCUUAAAGCGCGUGUAGGUGGGGCGGCACGUCGGCCGUUGAAAGCCCCCGGCUUAACCGGGGAAGCGGCGCCGAUACGACCGCCCUCGAGGGACGUAGGGGGGAGCUGGAACUUCCGGUGGAGCGGUGAAAUGCGUUGAGAUCGGAAGGAACGCCCGUGGCGAAAGCGAGCUCCUGGACGUUUUUCUGACACUGAGACGCGAAAGCCAGGGGAGCGAACGGG